rnacentral:rRNA from 1 species
CGUGAGUGAAGAAGGCCUUCGGGUUGUAAAGCUCUUUCGUCCGGGAAGAAAUCGUGUUGUCUAACAUAGGGCGUGGAUGACGGUACCGGAAUAAGAAGCACCGGCUAACUUCGUGCCAGCACCCGCGGUAAUACGUAGGGUGCGAGCGUUAAUCGGAAUUACUGGGCGUAAAGCGUGCGCAGGCGGUUUUGUAAGUCAGAUGUGAAAGCCACGGGCUUAACCUGGGAAUUGCGUUUGAGCCUGCAAGGCUAGAGUGCGGCAGAGGGGGGUGGAAUUCCUGGUGUAGC